CCAAUCGAACUUGGAGCUAGCUGGUUCUCCUCGAAAUGCGUUGAGGCGCAGCGGUUAUUUAUGAACUCUCAGGGGGUAAAGCUCUGUUUCGGUGCGGGCUGCGAAAGCGGUACCAAUCUGUUGCAAACUCGGAAUACCUGAGAUGAUUUCAAAUAGCCAGUGAGACUAUGGGGGACAAGCUUCAUAGUCAAAAGGGAAACAGCCCAGACCAUCAGCUAAGGCUCCUAAAUAAAAGCUAAGUGGUAAAGGAGGUGAAAAUGCUGUGACAAUCAGGAGGUUUGCCUAGAAGCAGCCACCCUUUAAAGAGUGCGUAAUAGCUCACUGAUCAAGCGUUUUUGCGCCGAAAAUUUCCGGAACUAAGUUUUUUGCCGAAGCUAUGGAUAUAUUAUCUACAUAAUAUGUGGUAGAGGAGCGUUCCGCCCAGGGGGAAGCCAAGCGCGUAAGCCGCGGUGGACAGGGCGGAAGUGAGAAUGUCAGCUUGAGUAACGUAAACAUUGGUGAGAAUCCAAUGCCCCGAAAACUCAAGGGUUCCUGCGCAAGGCUCGUCCGCGCAGGGUCAGUCAGGACCUAAGGUGAGGCCGAAAGGCGUAAUUGAUGGCAAGAAGGUUUAUAUUCCUUCACUAAUCUAGGCUUAGUCCUGAGGGACGAACAAAUAACACUCGGCACAACGGCCACACUUGGCAGUAUGGAUAAACCCGUUGCUGUUUGAUGCUAUUUAUUCCAAGAAAAGCUCAUUCGACUUUGAGUCUAGAUUACCUGUACCGUAAACCGACACAGGUGAGUGGGUUGAAUAAACUAAGGGGAGCGAGAUAACUCUCUCUAAGGAACUCGGCAAAUUGGCUCUGUACCUUCGGAAGAAAGAGUGCCCCUCAGGGGGCCGCAGUGAAGAGAUCCAGGCGACUGUUUACCAAAAACACAGGUCUCCGCAAAGUCGUAAGACGAUGUAUGGGGGCUGACACCUGCCCAGUGCCAGAAGGUUAAAGAAGUUGGUCAGUCUUUGACGAAGCUAACGACUGAAGCCCUGGUGAACGGCGGCAGUAACUAUAACUGUCCUAAGGUAGCGAAAUUCCUUGUCGGGUAAGUUCCGACCCGCACGAAAGGUGUAACGAUCUGGAUACUGUCUCAGAGAGAGGCUCGGUGAAAUAAAAAUAUCUGUGAAGAUGCGGAUUACCUGCACGCGGACAGAAAGACCCUAUGAAGCUUUACUGUAACCUGGAAUUGCUCUCAAGCUUAUUUUGCGCAGCUUAGGUGGGAGGCUAUGAACCUUUUCUUCUGGGAAGAGGGGAGCCAUCAGUGAGAUACCACUCUUGGUAAGCUAGAAAGCUCAGUCUUAACCGUUAUCCGGUAAGACGACAGUUUCAGGCGGGCAGUUUGACUGGGGCAGUCACCUCCCAAAAGGUAAUGGAGGUGCACAAAGGUUCCCUCAGGUUGGACGGAAAUCAACCAUAGAGUGUAAAAGCAUAAGGGAGCUUGACUGCGAGACUGACAUGUCAAGCAGAGACGAAAGUCGGUUUUAGUGAUCCGACGGUGCUGCGUGGAAAGGCCGUCGCUCAACGGAUAAAAGUUACUCUAGGGAUAACAGGCUAAUCUCCCCCAAGAGUUCACAUCGACGGGGAGGUUUGGCACCUCGAUGUCGGCUCAUCGCAUCCUGGAGCGGAAGUACGUUCCAAGGGUUGGGCUGUUCGCCCAUAGAAAGCGGUACGCGAGCUGGGUUCAGAACGUCGUGAGACAGUUUGGUCCAUAUCCUGUGUAGGCGUUUAGAGCAUUGAAAGGAUCUCCCCUUUGUACGAGAGGACCAGGUGGGGACAGACCGCUAGUGUACCAGUUAUCCCGCCAGGGGUAAACGCUGGGUAGCUAUGUCUGGAGUAAAUAACUGCUGAAAGCAUAUAAGUAGGAAGUUCACCUUAAGAUGAGUGCUCUUUUGUCUCAACCGUUCAGUUUUACUGGCAAAUGAAAGACAAGGAAGGUCACGGCAAGACGAGCCGUUUGAUAGGCAUGAAGUAGAAGUGCAGUAAUGCAUUCUGAAGCUGACAUGUGCUAAUAGACCGAGGGAUUUGAUUUU
rnacentral:rRNA from 1 species